AUUGAACGCUGGCGGCAGGCCUAACACAUGCAAGUCGAACGGUAACAGGAAGCAGCUUGCUGCUUCGCUGACGAGUGGCGGACGGGUGAGUAAUGUCUGGGAAACUGCCUGAUGGAGGGGGAUAACUACUGGAAACGGUAACUAAUACAGCAUAACGUCGCAAGACCAAAGAGGGGAACAUAGGGCCUCCUGUCAUCGGACGUGCCCAGGUGGGAUUAGCUAGUAGGUGGGGUAACGGCUCACCUAGGCGACGAUUCCUAGCUGGUCUGAGAGGAUGACCAGCCAAACUGGAACUGGGACACGGUCCAGACUCCUACGGGAGGCAGCAGUGGGGAAUAUUGCACAAUGGGCGCGAUCCUGAUGCAGCCAUGCCGCGUGUAUGAAGAAGGCCUUCGGGUUGUAAAGUACUUUCAGCGGGGAGGAAGGGAGUAAAGUUAAUACCUUUGCUCAUUGACGUUACCCGCAGAAGAAGCACCGGCUAACUCCGUG
rnacentral:rRNA from 1 species